rnacentral:tRNA from 1 species
GGAAGAGGAUGGGGUCUGGUGGCUUCCGCGGUCUUCAAAACCGUAGGCUGCAGUUUACUGUGGCGGCAGGUUCGAUUCCUGCCCCUUCCGCA